rnacentral:rRNA from 1 species
AGAUCGUAGGCUGCAACUCGCCUACCUGAAGGAGGAAUCGCUAGUAAUCGCAGGUCAGCAUACUGCGGUGAAUACGUUCCCGGGCCUUGUACACACCGCCCGUCACACCAUGGAAGUUGGCCACGCCCGAAGCCGUUACUCCAACCCUUGUGGAGGAGGACGUCGAAGGUGGGGCUGAUGACUGGGGUGAAGUCGUAACAAGGUAGCCGUACCGGAAGGUGCGGCUGGAUCACCUCCUAA